AUGGCAUAUGCUUCAUUCUCUUUCUUGUUAUGUUAUCACUUCUACGCCAUUAUCAAUAGUUUAGUUACACUUCGAAGGGGGGAAAUGAUAGGAGAGUUUGAUUUAUUUAUCACUAUUGUCUCAGGUUGCGAAUAUGAUAUCAAUGAUUUGUAUCACGAAGCUCAAAGGAGAUGGCUGAAGCCUGCAGAAGUGUUGUACAUUUUACAGAAUAAUGUAAAGUACCAGUUCACUCAAGAGCCACCGCAACAGCCAACAAGUUGCUGA